ACGGGUGAGUAAUACAUAGGUAACCUUCCCCUAAGAUGAGGACAACCUUCCGAAAGGAGGGCUAAUACUGAAUGAGACCACAGUGACAUAUGUCACAGGGGUUAAAGACGGCCUCUACUUGUAAGCUUUCGCUUAGGGAUGGGCUUAUGCACCAUUAGCUAGUUGGUAGGGUAAUGGCCUACCAAGGCUUCGAUGGUUAGCUGAUCUGAGAGGUUGAUCAGCCACACUGGAACUGAGACACGGUCCAGACUCCUACGGGAGGCAGCAGUAGGGAAUAUUGCGCAAUGGAGGAAACUCUGACGCAGCGACGCCGCGUGGGUGACGAAGGCUUUCGGGUCGUAAAGCCCUGUCGGAGGGGACGAAAGACUCCAGGAUAAUACCCUGGAGGGAUGACGGUACCCUCAAAGGAAGCACCGGCUAACUACGUGCCAGCAGCCGCGGUAAUACGUAGGGUGCAAGCGUUGUUCGGAAUCAUUGGGCGUAAAGCGUGUGUAGGUUGUUUAUCAAGUUGAUUGUGAAAUCCCUCGGCUCAACCGAGGAAGUGCAGUCAAAACUAAUAGGCUAGAGGACAGCAGAGGAUGGUGGA
rnacentral:rRNA from 1 species